rnacentral:rRNA from 1 species
UACGUAGGGUGCGAGCGUUGUCCGGAAUUAUUGGGCGUAAAGAGCUCGUAGGCGGUCUGUCGCGUCGGUCGUGAAAACUUGGGGCUUAACCCUGAGCUUGCGGUCGAUACGGGCAUGACUGGAGUUCGGCAGGGGAGACUGGAAUUCCUGGUGUAGCGGUGAAAUGCGCAGAUAUCAGGAGGAACACCGGUGGCGAAGGCGGCAUCCUGGACCAACACUGACGCUGAGUGAGCGAAAGCCAGGGGAGCAAACGGG